rnacentral:rRNA from 1 species
GGAGUUUGGACCGUGUCUCAGUUCCAAUGUGGGGGACCUUCCUCUCAGAACCCCUACCGAUCGAAGGCUUGGUGGGCCGUUACCCCGCCAACUACCUAAUCGGACGCAUCCCCAUCCAUGGCCGAUGAAAUCUUUAGUCCUCAUUAGAUGUCUGCAAAGGACCCCAUAGGGCAUUAAUCCGCUUUUCAGCGGGCUAUUCCCUGGCCGUGGGCAGGUUGGAUACGCGUUACUCACCCGUGCGCCGGUCGCCAUCAGAGUUUGCAAGCAAACCCUAUGCUGCCCCUCGACUUGCAUGUGUUAAGCCUGUAGCUAGCGUUCAUC